CAUGUCUAUGACCUACGCCAUGACUCACGGCAACACCCCAUCCUUAACCCACAGAGCGAGGCCAGGGAUCAAACCUGCAACCUCAUGGUUCCUAGUCAGAUUUGUUUCCACUGUGCCACAAUGGAAACUCCCAACCAUAAAAUUUAAAUAAACAAAUUAAUUUAAAGUCUUCCUGUACUGUGAAAAUGAUGGGUGUCAGUAACCUAUAUUCUCUAAGCUUAGAAACAUCAGAAGAAAGACAAUUUAAAAAAAAAGAAAAAAGAUAGAGCCAAAUAUCCAACUGCCAAGAACUGUCAAGUAAAAAGGCAAACAUUGUACGUAGUAUGCUAUUGUUCGAGGUUUUUUAAAAGAGCAAAGAGCUAUCUAUGUACAUGUCAUCUUGCAUCCGCAGACUGACUUUGGCAGAAACUAUGACAAUGCUGCCUCUGGAGAGGGGGCUGGGAGGCUGGGGACAGGAAUGAGAGCGCGAGGUGUUUUAAAUCACUGCAUAUCCCCUUUUUACCUUUUGAAUUUUACAUAAUGUACAUGUUUUGCCUGUUUUAUAUUUGUAAAAUUAGAUUGACUAACUUGGGGGGAGGGGAAAGCAAUACAACAUUUAAAAACUAUGGAAACAUACCCCUUUCAGUGUGAAGCCACCACAGGUUUCUGAGCUGAUCUGUGACUUGGCUCUUUCCAAAAGCUGGGGUUGUGGCUUGUUCUCAUUGGAUGCUGAUUGGGGGUGGGGGCACAUUGGGAGUCAAUUUUGAGAGGUCUUCAAAGGAGAAAACCCACAAGAGUUAUUGGAGAAAUGAGACAAACUUUAAGUGAAAUCUUUGGAGUGGGGUGGAAGACGUGGCUAAGGAGUACAGCUGUGGGGGCUGGUUGUUUUCAGGAGGAAAAGCCUCGGACAAGUGAAAUGGCAGAGACUGGCUAUUGUGCCUUUGGAGGGGAUUACUUUGAAUGGUCUGGAAAAGCUGAGAGGACACCAGGUCUGAUCCCUGUCCCCAGCCUACACUGUGAUGUCAUGGUUGGUAUAUUCUUAGUUAUCUCUUUCUUCCCUGGGACUCAUAGCCUACUUUUGCUCCCUUUUAAGUUAAAAACUAAACCUUAAUUAUACAGAGAGAAUCACUAGAUGGGACAUGAUUCGCCAAGAAAGUGGUGGGGGGGAGGGAGGGUGAUAACAACACAUUGACCAUCGAUAAAUCAGCUCCCAGGCUGUCCUGUCCUGUGACCUAUGUAAUGGGUAUUCUCUAGACCCUCAGCUAGGCAGAAAGCUCUUCAAGACUUGGGAUUUUUUCUUUCUUCCCUGCCCAGUCCCUGUCCCACUUCUCUCACACUUGGUACUAUUAAGCUCUUAAUAAUAACAAUGACAAACACUGGGCACCUGCUCUGUGCAGUCCAGGUGUUGAAGUUUCAUUCUGGUCGACACAGGCUGGGCCCCUGAAGACCUCUGUCUUCUCAGCUCCAACACUUCCCUCUCUGGGAUCCGACCACACCAGCCUUUUUUCCGUUUCUUGAACCCACUGAACC
rnacentral:lncRNA from 1 species